UACGUAGGGUGCAAGCGUUAAUCGGAAUUACUGGGCGUAAAGCGUGCGCAGGCGGUUGUGCAAGACAGAUGUGAAAUCCCCGGGCUUAACCUGGGAAUUGCAUUUGUGACUGCACGGCUAGAGUGUGUCAGAGGGGGGUAGAAUUCCACGUGUGAGCAGUGAAAUGCGUAGAUAUGUGGAGGAAUACCGAUGGCGAAGGCAGCCCCCUGGGAUAACACUGACGCUCAUGCACGAAAGCGUGGGGAGCAACAGG
rnacentral:rRNA from 1 species